UUUUGUACCGACAAGGCAAGCGCGCGUAAAACCACGUAUAGCAUAUUGCUCUCGUGAACCAAACUUCGUUAAAGCUAUGCGAAUAUUCUUUGUCCUAUGUGUAUGUGUCAUUACUAUGAUAGCGCAAAGCAGUUUUUCUUAUACACAACAUGGUUCCAUCACCCGCGAGAUGGAUGGAUGGCAAUUCUUUUCACGGAGGAUGAUAUACGUGAUGCUCAAACGGAGCUAUGCUGUCCCUGGAGGUCAAAACGAUGCAAUCUGUGUAAAGGCUCCCUUUCAACCUACAAUAUAUGCGAACAAGAAAGAAAUUGACAAGACCUUCACUUACCGGAACAUGAGCUCAACACGUAAAGUGUUCCCCAAUGCAGCACCUAGUUCACCUGCUCACUGGCCCAUCGCUAAAAUUCGUAUGACGUUUUCUGUGGGAAAUUAUAAUGCAAGUAAUAUUCAUAGGCACAACAACAAGGCCUAAAUUAUGUAAACUCAACGAUUUGGAUGAGUGGUUUCGGAUAUGAACUCCCUGCGCCACAGUGGCACUUCUUGUACGUUAAUCCGCACUGCGCGGUCGUGAAUACAUUAUCUUUGAAAUUUAUUUCAAAAGAGGCUACUACGAAAAACCAAGAGAGAAGCCGCCUUGUGAACUUUGGGUGAGCGUGAGCAGGAUAACUAAUGUAAGCGAAACAGAUCAAGCGGGAAGAUGGAACUUGUGCCAAGACUUCUUCAAUCAAACAUGCAACACACAUAAAAUAUACACGGUGUAUAAUGCUGAUCUAUGCGGCCCGAUGCAUUGAAAGAAACGCCAUCGAAAGGAAAGAUGAUCUGCAGUUUGCCAAAAAUAUAUUCUUUCAGAGCAGCCAUCCGACGGUCAAAACAACUCAGCUGCAAUAAAAUUCACUUCAUCAGUAA